AGGACGAACGCUGGCGGCGUGCUUAACACAUGCAAGUCGAGCGGAAAGGCCCUUCGGGGUACUCGAGCGGCGAACGGGUGAGUAACACGUGGGCAACCUGCCCCUCGCUCUGGGAUAACUCCGGGAAACCGGGGCUAAUACCGGAUAUGACCCUUUUAGGCAUCUUUGAGGGUGGAAAGUUUUUCGGCGAGGGAUGGGCCCGCGGCCUAUCAGCUUGUUGGUGGGGUGAUGGCCUACCAAGGCAAUGACGGGUAG
rnacentral:rRNA from 1 species